AGCAGCACUUCGGCUUUCUGCUGGACCUGCAGGGCACUCUGCAGGUAUUAUUGUUCCUGUGGGAAAUGCAACAAAGAUUUAGAGGAAAAGAAAACGGGUUAUCAUACGGCAGUCUUUCUUGGCUGGCAGUUUGUAUAAUCCAUCAGACAAGAAGGCUACAUUAUUGCCUACUUCAUGGCACCAAAAGCUGAAGUUAAAAAAGAUGGGUAUACCUGGGAAAGACUUGAGCCCCAGACUUCAACUCACUGUCCAGGCAUUCAAACCUUGCGUGCGUAUGAUUUAAAGCAGAAACCCUCCUAAAUGAAAUUUAAAUAGAUAGAGACAGUUAAAAGACUUUGUAUUUCCACGAGUCAUUAUAUCAAAAUGCAAACACAUGUACGCUUAGCAGCCUUGACCAAUUUUCCUAUGUCAGCAGAAUGUAAGCACAGCUACAGUAGGUGUCUGGUGGCAACCAAAUCUCAGAUGAUUUGCAAGAGUGAGUGCAAUUUGGUAAUGAGAUCACCCAUCAUCUCAGAUGUAAUAAAAUGAAAGUGAAGGAAAUCUGGACCAGAGUGGAGAUGAAU